UCCCUGGUGGUCCAGUGCUUAAGACAAUGAGCUCCCAAUGCAGGGCACCCAGGUUCAAACCCUGAUCAGGGAA
rnacentral:tRNA from 1 species